GACGAACCGUGCGAACGUUGUUCGGAAUCACUGGGCUUAAAGGGCGCGUAGGCGGGCUGACAAGUCUGGGGUGAAAUGCCGCGGCUCAACCGUGGAACUGCCUUAGAUACUGUCGGCCUCGAGGAAGGUAGGGGCAUGCGGAACUGUAGGUGGAGCGGUGAAAUGCGUUGAUAUCUACAGGAACUCCGGUGGCGAAGGCGGGUCUCUGGACAGUUCCUGACGCUGAGGAGCGAAAGCGUGGGGAGCGAACAGG
rnacentral:rRNA from 1 species